UAUUGGCAGUGAGGAUUAUUUUACAGUUCAAAUGCCAGUUUUGCUGCAGAAAAUUCUUGAUUGAAAGAGCUGUUAUAUACUCUGAGCCUUGA